rnacentral:rRNA from 1 species
AACGAACGCUGGCGGCGUGGAUUAGGCAUGCAAGUCGAACGAGGAAGUGCCCCGUAAGGGGCGCAAGCCUAGUGGCGAAAGGGUGAGUAAUGCAUUGAUAACCUGCCUUUGAGAUGGGAAUAACUGCGUUUCGAGCAAUCGGAACUACCGAAAGGGCUGCUAAUACCCAAUAAUACUAUAGGUGCAAAAGCACUUGUGGUCAAAUGCUAGGAAUUCUGUUCCUUGUGCUUAAAGAGGGGUUAAUGUCCUAUCAGCUAGUUGGUGGGGUAAUGGCCUACCAAGGCAAAGACGGGUAGCCGGCUUGAGAGGGUGGUCGGCCACACUGGGACUGAGACACUGCCCAGACUCCUACGGGAGGCUGCAGUCGAGAAUCUUUCGCAAUGCCCGAAAGGGUGACGAAGCGACGCCGCGUGUGGGAAGAAGGCCUUCGGGUUGUAAACCACUGUCGGGAGUUAGGAAAUGCAGGUGCGUUAAUAGCGCACUUGCUUGACUAAGGCUCCAGAGGAAGCCACGGCUAACUCUGUGCCAGCAGCCGCGGUAAUACAGAGGCGGCAAGCGUUGUUCGGAAUUAUUGGGCGUAAAGAGCACGUAGGCGGCCUUGCAAGUCAGUUGUGAAAGCCUUCCGCUUAACGGAAGAACGGCAUCUGAUACUACAGGGCUUGAGUACGGGAGGGGAGAGUGGAACUUCUGGUGGAGCGGUGAAAUGCGUAGAUAUCAGAAGAACGCCGGCGGCGAAAGCGACUCUCUGGUCCGAAACUGACGCUGAGUGUGCGAAAGCUAGGGAGCAAACGGGAUUUAGAUACCCCCGGUAGUCCUAGCCGUAACGAUGGGCACUAGUAGAGGGGUUUUGAUUAUUUCUCUGCCGGAGCUAACGCAUUAAGUGCCCCGCCUGGGGAGUACGGCCGCAAGGCUAAAACUCAAAAGAAUUGACGGGGGCUCGCACAAGCGGUGGAGCAUGUGGCUUAAUUCGAUGCAACGCGAAGAACCUUACCGGGGCUUGACAUGGUAGAAGUAGAAUCCUGAAAGGGUGACGAUCGGUAUCCAGUCCGAAGCUAUCACAGGUGUUGCAUGGCUGUCGUCAGCUCGUGUCGUGAGACGUUGGGUUAAGUCCCCUAACGAGCGAAACCCUUGUCUUUAGUUGCUAACGGGUAAUGCUGAGCAC